CGAACGCUGGCGGCGUGCUUAACACAUGCAAGUCGAACGCGAAAGGGACUUCGGUCCUGAGUAAAGUGGCUCACGGGUGAGUAACGCGUAGAUAACCUGUCUUCAUGUCUGGAAUAAUACGCCGAAAGGGGUACUAAUACCGGAUAUUCUUGCUUUUCAUAAGUUAUGCAAGCAAAGGUGGCCUCUGCAUAUGCUACUGCAUGAAGAGGGGUCUGCGUACCAUUAGCUAGUAGGUGGGGUAAUGGCCUACCUAGGCGACGAUGGUUAGCGGGUCUGAGAGGAUGAUCCGCCACACUGGCACUGGAACACGGGCCAGACUCCUACGGGAGGCAGCAGUGAGGAAUAUUGCGCAAGUGGGGGAAACCCUGACGCAGCGACGCCGCGUGAGUGAGGAAGGCCUUCGGGUCGUAAAGCUCUGUCAAGAGGAAAGAAGUGUACAAUGGCUAAUACCUGUUGUAUUUGACGGUACCUCUAAAGGAAGCACCGGCUAACUCCGUGCCAGCCGCCGC
rnacentral:rRNA from 1 species